rnacentral:misc_RNA from 1 species
GGUUAGGGAGUAUUUCAAUACCUCACUUACUGUAACCCGUUUUCGGAAGAAAAACCAAUCCGAUAUUUCCUCUAUUACGCCUCUGCAUUGUCCCUCUGUUUGGGAGAGUAGCUUACCUAAUCGGGUCGGUAAAUCUGUUCCGGGUCUUGUAUUGGCUCUAUAAGAAAAUUGUGCUGCCGUUUCUCUUGUGUCUGAUAGGAUGUAAGAUUAACACGGCUGGUUUGAGAUUCUGUUGCCGUUUGGUUUGAUUUUUUUGUUAAGUUGGGAUUUGUGUUUGUUUAAUUAUGAUUGAGUUAAGGAAGGGGCCAAUGAUAAUUGGGUAUACCUUCCGAUUGUUGUCUAAUUAUGUAAUGGUUUGCAAUAAAAAGCUUUGUGAUU